CCCCCCGCUUGCUCUCUUCUCCCCUCCCUGGUCCUCUCCGCCUCACCCCUCCCCCUCGCCAGAUCCAUCCCCGCCGAGCGCCGCCAUGGGCUCGCUCCGGUGAAGCUCGCGACCACCGGCCACUUCUCCCUCACCGUUGCGUCCACGACGACCGCCAUCGCCCGCUGCGUCCACUACGGAGACGAAGACCUGCCGGAACCCCCACCUUCGCCGGAUUCGCGUCGCCCUCGUCCGCUUCGGUCAUCGACCAUCUCCGUCAACUCCAACCGCCCCGCAGCUACUAAUCCGUCACCGGGCCCCCAUGCGCCCACACGACUACGAGACCGACGCUGCUGCUGACCAGUUCGGCUACGGAGUUGACGACCCCUCUCUCUUGCCAGAGCAACCAGAUGCUGGAGCCCUGGAGCCAGACGCCACCGUCGACGACGACUACUACACUGGAGGUGCCUACUACUACGUGCAGCCCGUUGACGACGACCAGGAGUAGUUAGGAGGAUCCCAGGCAGGAGGCCUGCGCCUCUUUCGAUCUGUAUCCCAGUUUGUGCUAGCCUUCUUAAGGCAAACUUGUUUAACUUAUGUCUGUACUCAGAUAUUGUUGCUUCCGCUGACUCGUCUAUGAUCGAGCACUUGUAUUCGAGCCCU
rnacentral:rRNA from 1 species